rnacentral:rRNA from 1 species
UGAGGAAUAUUGGUCAAUGGGUGCAAGCCUGAACCAGCCAUCCCGCGUGAAGGACGACUGCCCUAUGGGUUGUAAACUUCUUUUGUAUAGGGAUAAACCUACCCUCGUGAGGGUAGCUGAAGGUACUAUACGAAUAAGCACCGGCUAACUCCGUGCCAGCAGCCGCGGUAAUACGGAGGGUGCAAGCGUUAUCCGGAUUUAUUGGGUUUAAAGGGUCCGUAGGCGGACUUAUAAGUCAGUGGUGAAAGCCUGUCGCUUAACGAUAGAACUGCCAUUGAUACUGUAAGUCUUGAGUAUAUUUGAGGGAGCUGGAAUAAGUAGUGUAGCGGUGAAAUGCAUAGAUAUUACUUAGAACACCAAUUGCGAAGGCAGGUUACCAAGAUAUAACUGACGCUGAGGGACGAAAGCGUGG